GACGAACGCUGGCGGCGUGCUUAACACAUGCAAGUCGAACGGAAAGGCCCUGCUUUUGUGGGGUGCUCGAGUGGCGAACGGGUGAGUAACACGUGAGUAACCUGCCCUUGACUUUGGGAUAACUUCAGGAAACUGGGGCUAAUACCGGAUAGGAGCUCCUGCUGCAUGGUGUGGGUUGGAAAGUUUCGGCGGUUGGGGAUGGACUCGCGGCUUAUCAGCUUGUUGGUGGGGUAGUGGCUUACCAAGGGUUCGACGGGUAGCCGGCCUGAGAGGGUGACCGGCCACAUUGGGACUGAGAUACGGCCCAGACUCCUACGGGAGGCAGCAGGGGAGAAUAUUGCACAACGGGCGGAAGCCUGAUGCAGCAACGCCGCGUGCGGGAUGACGUCCUUCGGGUUGUAAACCGCUUUCGCCGGUGACGAAGCGUGAGUGACGGUAAUGGGUAAAGAAGCACCGGCUAACUACGUG
rnacentral:rRNA from 1 species